CCCUGGUUAGCCCAGUUGGUAGAGCGCUCCACUUGUAAUGGAGAGGUCCCGGGUUCGAUACCCGGACCAGGCG
rfam:Ixodes scapularis strain Wikel colony gcontig_1108379239974, whole genome shotgun sequence.